UUCCGGUACAACAACGUCUGGAAUAUAUACAGUUGUCAAAGCGAAUCAGCGCUAAUAUGUAAUUUGGUGUAUUGUUUGGCGAUCGGCAGCACACACGAUACUGGGAAAAUUUUGCCUGCAGUUUAUUUAGGUUCCUAGUCGAUGCUACAGUAAGGAAACGGUGGAUGAAUAGAUGUUGACACAAAGUUACGAAACCUGCUGCUUCAAACUGCUUCAAACGUACAUUUAGAAACCUCAGUUGAUGUUGAUACUGCUACCAAUAUAACUUUACCAGACAACAAUGAAGUGCAUCUGCAUGAUCACGAGUAUACAGCAUAAAACCCUCAACAUUUACAAAGCUUUCCUUGAAGAAUUGGAUGUCGUAGACUUGCAGUGAGAAAUAUAUUUGCUUAAUUAAAGGAAAGCAUCCAUGACAAUUGGUAAAAUCAUAAUUAAAAGAACCCGGAAAGGGAUCAUGAGCACUGUUGGGGGUGUCCAUUCAACUGAAACACCAAAGUCAGAGGAAUUGAAGAUUGCAAUGGAUACUACAGAAGUGACAUAAUAUGACCAAAUUGAUAUGAAAAGCCAGUCGUUCGCUUACAGUAAUUACAAGAGUCGCCACAAAGAAGACUUUAAUGUGUAUUACACCUAAUGCAGAUCAUUUCCAAUCUGUAUGCUGGAUACAAAUCUGAUUCGGCAAUUCUGAACCAUUGUGGGAUUUUAGAGAAAUUGCAAGUUGGUGAUAUGUUCUUGGCGGACAAAGGAUUUUGUAUAUUUGACAAACUUGCAAAUGAUGUGACACUUAAUAUCCCACUCUUUCUUACAAAUAAAUCCCACUUCUCAAAAGAGGAUGCAGAGCUUUGCUGUAAAAUUUCCAGAUGCAGAAUCCAUGUUGGAUGGAAAAAUGAGAGAAUGUUUUGUUUAAAAAAAAUCCUUAGCCAUAUUCUAUCAUAGUAUAUAUAUUAAUCUGACAAAAUAUUUCAGCUUUGUGUGGCCCAUGUGAUUUUGUAGGUUCCCCAUUCGAAGGAGAUUGCAGAUAAACCCUACACACUUAUUAGAUUAAUUGCAUAUUCUCAUUUUGAAGGAAGGUAUUUAAAUUGGUAAAUCUGCAUUAUUAUACAAAAAUGUAAAAUCCAUUGUUUUUAGUAAAUGCAUGUAAUUUAAUGAUUUUUGUAAAGCUGGACACUGCGUCUAUACAUAUUUUGGUUCAUCCAAAAUAAGAAACACUAUCUGUCUGUAAUGUUUAUUCAACAGUAUACAUGUAAUUACAUAACUUUGAUAGAUGCACCACUGAUAUCAUAAUAAAGUAUAUGUACAUGUGGUU